CACGUAGAUUCUGGUGCAUCUGCAAU
rnacentral:piRNA from 1 species